UUAAGCGACUAAGCGUACACGGUGGAUGCCCUGGCAGUCAGAGGCGAUGAAGGACGUGCUAAUCUGCGAAAAGCGUCGGUAAGGUGAUAUGAACCGUUACAGCCGGCGAUGUCCGAAUGGGGAAACCCAGUGCAAUUCGUUGCACUAUCGUUAACUGAAUACAUAGGUUAACGAGGCGAACCGGGGGAACUGAAACAUCUAAGUACCCCGAGGAAAAGAAAUCAACCGAGAUUCCCCCAGUAGCGGCGAGCGAACGGGGAGCAGCCCAGAGUCUGAAUCAGCUUGUGUGUUAGUGGAACGGUCUGGAAAGUCCGACGGUACAGGGUGAUAGUCCCGUACACCAAAAUGCACAGGCUGUGAACUCGAAGAGUAGGGCGGGACACGUGGUAUCCUGUCUGAAUAUGGGGGGACCAUCCUCCAAGGCUAAAUACUCCUGACUGACCGAUAGUGAACCAGUACCGUGAGGGAAAGGCGAAAAGAACCCCGGCGAGGGAGUGAAAAGAACCUGAAACCGUGUACGUACAAGCAGUGGGAGCACCUUCGGGUGUGACUGCGUACCUUUGUAUAAUGGGUCAGCGACUUAUAUUCUGUAGCAAGGUUAACCGUAUAGGGAGCCGCAGGGAAACCGAGUCUUAACUGGGCGUUAAGUUGCAGGUAUAGACCCGAAACCCGGUGAUCAGCCAUGGGCAGGUUGAAGGUUGGGUAACACUAACUGGAGGACCGAACCGACUAAUGUUGAAAAAUUAGCGGAUGACUUGUGGCUGGGGGUGAAAGGCCAAUCAAACCGGGAGAUAGCUGGUUCUCCCCGAAAGCUAUUUAGGUAGCGCCUCGUGAAUUCAUCUUCGGGGGUAGAGCACUGUUUCGGCUAGGGGUCAUCCGACUUACCAACCCGAUGCAAACUACGAAUACCGAAGAAUGUUAUCACGGGAGACACACGGCGGGUGCUAACGUCCCAAAGUCGUGAAGAAAACAACCCAGACCGUGGUCCCAAACAGACAGAUGUUGGCUUAGAAGCAGCCAUCAUUUAAAGAAAGCGUAAUAGCUCACUGGUCGAGUCGGCCUGCGCGGAAGAUGUAACGGGCUAAACCAUGCACCGAAGCUGCGGCAGCGACACUAUGUGUUGUUGGGGAGCGUUCUGUAAGCCUGCGAAGGUGUGCUGUGAGGCAUGCUGGAGGUAUCAGAAGUGCGAAUGCUGACAUAAGUAACGAUAAAGCGGGUGAAAAGCCCGCUCGCCGGAAGACCAAGGGUUCCUGUCCAACGUUAAUCGGGCAGGGUGAGUCGACCCAAGGCGAGGCCGAAAGGCGUAGUCGAUGGGAAACAGGUUAAUAUUCCUGUACUUGGUGUUACUGCGAAGGGGGGACGGAGAAGGCUAUGUUAGCCGGGCGACGGUUGUCCCGGUUUAAGCAUGUAGGCUGGUUAUCCAGGCAAAUCCGGAUAAUCAAGGCUGAGGUGUGAUGACGAGGCACUACGGUGCUGAAGUAACAAAUGCCCUGCUUCCAGGAAAAGCCUCUAAGCAUCAGGUAACAUCAAAUCGUACCCCAAACCGACACAGGUGGUCAGGUAGAGAAUACCAAGGCGCUUGAGAGAACUCGGGUGAAGGAACUAGGCAAAAUGGUGCCGUAACUUCGGGAGAAGGCACGCUGGUGUGUAGGUGAAGUCCCUGCGGAUGGAGCUGAGACCAGUCGAAGAUACCAGCUGGCUGCAACUGUUUAUUAAAAACACAGCACUGUGCAAACACGAAAGUGGACGUAUACGGUGUGACGCCUGCCCGGUGCCGGAAGGUUAAUUGAUGGGGUUAUCCGUAAGGAGAAGCUCUUGAUCGAAGCCCCGGUAAACGGCGGCCGUAACUAUAACGGUCCUAAGGUAGCGAAAUUCCUUGUCGGGUAAGUUCCGACCUGCACGAAUGGCGUAAUGAUGGCCAGGCUGUCUCCACCCGAGACUCAGUGAAAUUGAACUCGCUGUGAAGAUGCAGUGUACCCGCGGCAAGACGGAAAGACCCCGUGAACCUUUACUAUAGCUUGACACUGAACAUUGAGCCUUGAUGUGUAGGAUAGGUGGGAGGCUUUGAAGCGUGGACGCCAGUCUGCGUGGAGCCAACCUUGAAAUACCACCCUUUAAUGUUUGAUGUUCUAACGUUGGCCCCUUACCGGGGUUGCGGACAGUGUCUGGUGGGUAGUUUGACUGGGGCGGUCUCCUCCCAAAGCGUAACGGAGGAGCACGAAGGUUAGCUAAUCCUGGUCGGACAUCAGGAGGUUAGUGCAAUGGCAUAAGCUAGCUUGACUGCGAGCGUGACGGCGCGAGCAGGUGCGAAAGCAGGUCAUAGUGAUCCGGUGGUUCUGAAUGGAAGGGCCAUCGCUCAACGGAUAAAAGGUACUCCGGGGAUAACAGGCUGAUACCGCCCAAGAGUUCAUAUCGACGGCGGUGUUUGGCACCUCGAUGUCGGCUCAUCACAUCCUGGGGCUGAAGUAGGUCCCAAGGGUAUGGCUGUUCGCCAUUUAAAGUGGUACGCGAGCUGGGUUUAGAACGUCGUGAGACAGUUCGGUCCCUAUCUGCCGUGGGCGCUGGAGAAUUGAGGGGGCUGCUCCUACGAGAGGACCGGAGUGGACGCAUCACUGGUGUUCGGGUUGUCAUGCCAAUGGCACUGCCCGGUAGCUAAAUGCGGAAGAGAUAAGUGCUGAAAGCAUCUAAGCACGAAACUUGCCCGAGAUGAGUUCUCCUGAGACUUUAAGUCUCCUGAAGGAACGUUGAAGACGACGACGUUGAUAGGCCGGGUGUAAGCGCAGCGAUGCGUUGAGCUAACCGGUACUAAUGAACCGUGAGGCUUAACCU
rnacentral:rRNA from 1 species